rnacentral:rRNA from 1 species
UACGUAGGGGGCUAGCGUUGUCCGGAAUCAUUGGGCGUAAAGCGCGUGUAGGCGGUCCGGCAAGUCCGCUGUGAAAGUCGGGGGCUCAACCCUCGAAUGCCGGUGGAUACUGUCGGGCUAGAGUGCGGAAGAGGCGAGUGGAAUUCCUGGUGUAGCGGUGAAAUGCGCAGAUAUCAGGAGGAACACCAAUUGCGAAGGCAGCUCGCUGGGACGUUACUGACGCUGAGACGCGAAAGCGUGGGGAGCAAACAGG